rnacentral:rRNA from 1 species
CACACGACUCUCGGCAACGGAUAUCUCGGCUCUCGCAUCGAUGAAGAACGUAGCGAAAUGCGAUACCUGGUGUGAAUUGCAGAAUCCUGCGAACCAUCGAGUCUUUGAACGCAAGUUGCGCCCGAGGCCACUCGGCCGAGGGCACGCCUGCCUGGGCAUCACGC